rnacentral:rRNA from 1 species
GGCGGCAUGCUUUACACAUGCAAGUCGAACGGCAGCGCGGGGCAACCUGGCGGCGAGUGGCGAACGGGUCAGUAAUACAUCGGAACGUACCCAGAAGUGGGGGAUAACGUAGCGAAAGUUACGCUAAUACCGCAUACGUUCUACGGAAGAAAGUGGGGGAUCUUCGGACCUCAUGCUUUUGGAGCGGCCGAUGUCUGAUUAGCUNNNNNNUGAGGUAAAGGCUCACCAAGGCGACGAUCAGUAGCUGGUCUGAGAGGACGACCAGCCACACUGGGACUGAGACACGGCCCAGACUCCUACGGGAGGCAGCAGUGGGGAAUUUUGGACAAUGGGCGCAAGCCUGAUCCAGCAAUGCCGCGUGAGUGAAGAAGGNNUUCGGGUUGUAAAGCUCUUUUGUCAGGGAAGAAACGGCUGGGGCUAAUAUCCUCGGCUAAUGACGGUACCUGAAGAAUAAGCACCGGCUAACUACGUGCCAGCAGCCGCGGUAAUACGUAGGGUGCAAGCGUUAAUCGGAAUUACUGGGCGUAAAGCGUGCGCAGGCGGUUUUGUAAGUCUGACGUGAAAUCCCCGGGCUCAACCUGGGAAUUGCGUUGGAGACUGCAAGGCUGGAGUCUGGCAGAGGGGGGUAGAAUUCCACGUGUAGCAGUGAAAUGCGUAGAGAUGUGGAGGAACACCGAUGGCGAACGCAGCCCCCUGGGUCAAGACUGACGCUCAUGCACGAGAGCGUGGGGAG